UCUGCAGUUCUCACAAGUGGUCAGCUUUUACUGGGCUCUGCUCGCAACCAUCUACACCUUGCAAGCAGAAGACAGCGUACUGAUGUGCUUUGCUCUCACAUCUUUCGCCCUGAACUUUGCAGUCUUCAUUGCUCGUUUCAUCAUGGAGUAUCUCACCAUUGCCUACAGAGAAGAGCGCUAUGAGUAGAGAAUCACUUCAAAAGAGAGGACUGAGCAGUUCCCCAAGGAAUCUGGGAAAUGCCGUUCCAGUUUAACUUUGAGGAACAGAAGCAGCAAAAUGGGCUCAGGAUUUAGCCAACAGCAUUUAAUAGAAUUGCAACAUACAAGUCUAUUGCUUUAGUCUCUUACACAGUCUUGUGUUUCUACCAGGCCCUCCACAAACCGUAUGAAUUGAGGCAGUAAAUAAAGCCACAUGGGCCUUCUUAGUGUUUUGCAA